UGGGGAAUUUUGGACAAUGGGCGAAAGCCUGAUCCAGCGAUGCCGCGUGUGUGAAGAAGGCCUUCGGGUUGUAAAGCACUUUUGUCCGGGAAAGAAAUCCUUGGCUCUAAUACAGUCGGGGGAUGACGGUACCGGAAGAAUAAGCACCGGCUAACUACGUGCCAGCAGCCGCGGUAAUACGUAGGGUGCAAGCGUUAAUCGGAAUUACUGGGCGUAAAGCGUGCGCAGGCGGUUUGCUAAGACCGAUGUGAAAUCCCCGGGCUCAACCUGGGAACUGCAUUGGUGACUGGCAGGCUAGAGUAUGGCAGAGGGGGGUAGAAUUCCACGUGUAGCAGUGAAAUGCGUAGAGAUGUGGAGGAAUACCGAUGGCGAAGGCAGCCCCCUGGGCCAAAUACUGACGCUCAUGCACGAAAGCGUGGGGAGCAAACAGGAUUAGAUACCCUGGUAGUCCGCGCCCUAAACGAUGUCAACUAGUUGUUGGGGAUUCAUUUCCUUAGUAACGUAGCUAACGCGUGAAGUUGACCGCCUGGGGAGUACGGUCGCAAGAUUAAAACUCAAAGGAAUUGACGGGGU
rnacentral:rRNA from 1 species